UACGUAGGGGGGCAAGCGUUGUCCGGAAUUAUUGGGCGUAAAGAGCGCGUAGGCGGUCCGAUAAGUCGGCUGUGAAAGUCCAAGGCUCAACCUUGGGAUGCCGGUCGAUACUGCCGGACUAGAGUUCGGAAGAGGCGAGUGGAAUUCCCGGUGUAGCGGUGAAAUGCGCAGAUAUCGGGAGGAACACCUAUGGCGAAGGCAGCUCGCUGGGACGUUACUGACGCUGAGACGCGGAAAGCGUGGGGAGCAAACAGG
rnacentral:rRNA from 1 species